UACGAAGGGGGCUAGCGUUGCUCGGAAUCACUGGGCGUAAAGCGCACGUAGGCGGCUUUUUAAGUCAGGGGUGAAAUCCUGGAGCUCAACUCCAGAACUGCCUUUGAUACUGAGAGGCUCGAGUCCGGGAGAGGUGAGUGGAACUGCGAGUGUAGAGGUGAAAUUCGUAGAUAUUCGCAAGAACACCGGUGGCGAAGGCGGCUCACUGGCUCAUUACUGACGCUCAGGCGCGAUAGCGUGGGGAUCAAACAGG
rnacentral:rRNA from 1 species